rnacentral:rRNA from 1 species
UACGAAGGGGGCUAGCGUUGUUCGGAAUUACUGGGCGUAAAGCGCGCGCAGGCGGUCUUCCAAGUCAGUGGUGAAAGCCCGGAGCUCAACUCCGGAACUGCCAUUGAAACUGUUAGACUUGAGGACGAGAGAGGUGAGUGGAAUUCCCAGUGUAGAGGUGAAAUUCGUAGAUAUUGGGAAGAACACCGGUGGCGAAGGCGGCUCACUGGCUCGUAUCUGACGCUCAGGCGCGACAGCGUGGGGAUCAAGCAGG